CGGACGGGUGAGUAACGCGUAAAGAACUUGCCCUUUAGACUGGGAUAACAGAGGGAAACUUCUGAUAAUACUGGAUAAGUUAGUAUAUCGCAUGAUAUGCAAAUGAAAGCUACGGCACUAAAGGAGAGCUUUGCGUCCUAUUAGCUAGUUGGUAAGGUAAGAGCUUACCAAGGCGAUGAUAGGUAGCCGGCCUGAGAGGGUGGACGGCCACAUUGGGACUGAGAUACGGCCCAGACUCCUACGGGAGGCAGCAGGC
rnacentral:rRNA from 1 species